UAGGGAAUCUUCCGCAAUGGACGCAAGUCUGACGGAGCAACGCCGCGUGAGUGAAGAAGGGUUUCGGCUCGUAAAACUCUGUUGUUAAGGAAGAAUGACAGGCAGAGUAACUGCUGCCUGUGUGACGGUACUUAACCAGAAAGCCACGGCUAACUACGUGCCAGCAGCCGCGGUAAUACGUAGGUGGCAAGCGUUAUCCGGAAUUAUUGGGCGUAAAGCGCGCGUAGGCGGUUUUUUAAGUCUGAUGUGAAAGCCCCCGGCUCAACCGGGGAGGGUCAUUGGUAACUGGGGAACUUGAGUGCAGAAGAGGAGAGUGGAAUUCCAUGUGUAGCGGUGAAAUGCGCAGAGAUAUGGAGGAACACCAGUGGCGAAGGCGGCUCUCUGGUCUGUAACUGACGCUGAUGUGCGAAAGCGUGGGGAUCAAACAGG
rnacentral:rRNA from 1 species